CUCCUUAGAAACAUCCCCAUGUUGACCGAAGCAGUCUUCAUUGAUUUUAGAGGGUCGUUCUCCCUGGGAUUGGACGUAUUGGCAGUCAAGAAGUUGAAAGUAGUGCGUGUGUGUGCAGCGAUGGGAGCCUUCCUUUAUAGAGGCAUCCAGUGAGGCACUGGUCUCUCACUUCUUCAUGGACCUGCCCUGGAAAUGGAGCUUCAUACUGGGGCUCCACCUGGUUCAACAUCCUUCGAGGGCUUUUAGGGAUUUUAGGAGGGAUGGCCGUCGGUUCAGCCUUUGGUUUAUUUCCUCGUUAUUUCCCCAUUGAAG